rnacentral:rRNA from 1 species
AUUGAACGCUGGCGGCAGGCCUAACACAUGCAAGUCGAACGGUAACAGGAAACAGCUUGCUGUUUCGCUGACGAGUGGCGGACGGGUGAGUAAUGUCUGGGAAACUGCCUGAUGGAGGGGGAUAACUACUGGAAACGGUAGCUAAUACCGCAUAACGUCGCAAGACCAAAGAGGGGGACCUUCGGGCCUCUUGCCAUCGGAGGUGCCCAAAUGGGCAGAGCUAGUAGGCGGGGUAACGGCUCACCUGGGCGACGAUCCCUAGCUGCUCUGAGAGGAUGACCAGCCACACUGAAACUGAGACACGGUCCAGACUCCUACGGGAGGCAGCAGUGGGGAAUAUUGCACAAUGGGCGAAAGCCUGAUGCAGCCAUGCCGCGUGUAUGAAGAAGGCCUUCGGGUUGUAAAGUACUUUCAGCGGGGAGGAAGGGAGUAAAGUUAAUACCUUUGCUCAUUGACGUUACCCGCAGAAGAAGCACCGGCUAACUCCGUGCCAGCAGCCGCCGUAA